AUGUGUGUGUGUGCGCAGUAUGUUCAGAUUCGUAUGUGUCAUUUCCAUUGUUAUGACCAGCUGAUUGUGUGUUUAGAGUUAGAUUUAUGAUUUAACUUUGAACUAGAACCAAGGAGAUAAAGUGUGUGUGUCUGUUUGUUUGUUUGUUUCUUGUAAAUACUCCUAAUUUUAGAGUGGCAGUUUGUUUCCCAACAUUUCUCCCUCUCUCUCUGCUGCAGGUUUCAGUCCUGCCAUUGAGGACAGUCCCAAGAGAAGACCUACCCAAGAAAGAGUGGUUGGAGGUGAUGUGGGGGAGGAUUAUUCAGAAGCCUGGCGUUCCAGCUACACCCCACAGCCCUGAAGGCCAGAGGUACAUUAUUCACCAACAGGAACCUUCCACAACCUGCCCAGGCUUGCCCAACAAGACACAGGUCGUGUGUGUAGAGAGAACACAUUUGACCAGGUGGAGUCAGGCUUCUACUUCAUCGCCCUGGACUACUACACAACAUAUGUGUUGCUCCACCUUCCCCAGUGCCCUACUGUUGUUUUCUUUUUAACAAUGUCUAUGGGUCGUAAAAUGAUUUUAUGUUGGGACUUCGACUCCACACUAAAUGUAAUUCCAUGUCCUGUAUUGUUCUGCACUCUCUAAAGAUUAUGCUAAUGCCCCACUGUAAGAACCUGGAGAUCUUUACUGGUUCUGAGGGAGGUGACAUGGCCACAAACAGUGCCUGAGGCACUUUCCAGCGCUACCGCUGUCUGGACAACAGCCAGAGGGUGGUCAGCUCUGCUGCACCUGAGAGCUAAAGCUCCAUUAUUACAGAUAGUCCAGUCUGCUGAGACGGUUAUUGGCUGCCACCUGCCCUCCAUCAAGGUCCUGCACGACUCCAGGGAAAGGAAGCGUGGAGUAAAGAUCAUCGCCAAACCUUCCCACCUCCACUUCCAGAGACUCUCCUCUGGCAAACGGUUCAGGUCAAUCACGACCAAAACCUCCCACCACCUGAACAGUUUCUUCCCCCGUGCUGUGGGCCUCACUAACCGGUCACCUAGUCCAUGAUGAUCCUCUCAUCCAUGGACUUCUCACUCUGCACUAUUCAUUCAGUGACUAUGCACCCUGCACUAUCAUUCCAGAACUUCACAUUGCUCUUGGUACUCUGAACAUUUCUUACAUGCAUAAUUUAUAAUGUAGCAUAUAGUGUUCAUAGUGUACAUACAGUAUGUGGAUCUGUGGAAAUUCUGCAUCUAUAUAUAUUUUGUUCUGUAUAUUCUGUUUAUUGUGGCAGCACCAUUUCACAGUCAAAUUCCUCUACAUGCAAAUGUAUUUGGCGAACAAAGCUAUUCUGACAUGUUAACCUGAGUUUAGCUGGUUUAUCAUGUCAGUUGGAGUUUACAUUAUAAUAUUUGGGACUGGUUAUGUACUGUAGCAGGUAACAGAUUAUACCCUUUGUCAUCAUAUAAUAAAA